GCGAGCGGCGGAUGGGUGAGUAACACGUGGGGAACCUGCCCCUAAGUCUGGGAUACCAUUUGGAAACAGGUGCUAAUACCGGAUAAUAAAGCAGAUCGCAUGAUCAGCUUUUGAAAGGCGGCGUAAGCUGUCGCUAAGGGAUGGCCCCGCGGUGCAUUAGCUAGUUGGUAAGGUAACGGCUUACCAAGGCGACGAUGCAUAGCCGAGUUGAGAGACUGAUCGGCCACAUUGGGACUGAGACACGGCCCAAACUCCUACGGGAGGCAGCAGUAGGGAAUCUUCCACAAUGGACGCAAGUCUGAUGGAGCAACGCCGCGUGAGUGAAGAAGGUUUUCGGAUCGUAAAGCUCUGUUGUUGGUGAAGAAGGAUAGAGGUAGUAACUGGCCUUUAUUUGACGGUAAUCAACCAGAAAGUCACGGCUAACUACGUGCCAGCAGCCGCGGUAAUACGUAGGUGGCAAGCGUUGUCCGGAUUUAUUGGGCGUAAAGCGAGCGCAGGCGGAAAAAUAAGUCUAAUGUGAAAGCCCUCGGCUUAACCGAGGAACUGCAUCGGAAACUGUUUUUCUUGAGUGCAGAAGAGGAGAGUGGAACUCCAUGUGUAGCGGUGGAAUGCGUAGAUAUAUGGAAGAACACCAGUGGCGAAGGCGGCUCUCUGGUCUGCAACUGACGCUGAGGCUCGAAAAGCAUGAGUAGCGAACAGGAUUAGAUACCCUGGUAGUCCAUGCCGUAAACGAUGAGUGCUAAGUGUUGGGAAGGUUUUCCCGCCUCUCAGUGCUGCAGCUAACGCAUUAAGCACUCCCCCUGGGGA
rnacentral:rRNA from 1 species